rnacentral:rRNA from 1 species
GACGAACGCUGGCGGCGUGCUUAACACAUGCAAGUGGAGCGACGAACCAGGGCUUGCCCUGGGGCAGAGCCGCGAACGGGUGAGUAACACGUGGGUAACGUGCCCCAAUGAUCGGGACAACCCGGAGAAACCCGGGCUAAUACCGACUAUGCUCCCCUCACACCAGUGAGGGAUGGAAAGGAAGCUUCGGCCUCCGCAUUGGGAUCGGCCCGCGGCCCAUUAGCUUGUUGGUGAGGUAACGGCUCACCAAGGCUGCGAUGGGUAGCUGGUCUGAGAGGACGAUCAGCCACACUGGGACUGAGACACGGCCCAGACUCCUACGGGAGGCAGCAGUGGGGAAUCUUGCGCAAUGCGCGAAAGCGUGACGCAGCAACGCCGCGUGGGGGAAGAAGGCCUUCGGGUUGUAAACCCCUUUCAGGAGGGACGAAGCCUUGGCGGUUAAUAGCCGACCGAGGUGACGGUACCUCCAGAAGAAGCCCCGGCUAACUACGUGCCAGCCGCCGCAGUAAAAC